rnacentral:lncRNA from 1 species
GCGUAAUUUUAUUGGUAAAUAACUAUAUAUUUUUUUCACCACAGUGCGUACAUAAAAUACCGCAUGUCCAUUCCCCUGUCUGUCCUUCCGGACUUCUGGUUAAUUAGAUUUUUCAAGUGUACAAUUCUUGCCAACUUUCUAUAAAACUGAUAUCGUAUGGACACGUUCGAAAAUCAGUGCAUAUCAACUAUUCUUUAAAAGAGUUAUGCCAUUUGGAAAUAUUAAUUAUAUUGAAAAUUGCAUUGUAUUUUCUGUCAUUCCGUCAUUUCUCUAAUAUAUCUAUAAAAAAAAAUAAAGAAAAAAAUAAACAGCUGCGCUUCGAGCGCAUGAUACGCCCUUCGUCUUAUGAAAAAAAACCCAACAUAAUAUAUGUUUUUAAAAUAACACGGGGGUUGUACGGGAAGUCAUGCUAGGUAUAUCCUGACUCAUUCAUUAUUCUUGCUCAAUAGGAAGUUUAUAUAUCACAACAUGUUUUAUAUGAUCCCCAAAUUGAAGCUCAAUAAAAAUUCAAGAACUCAAAAAUGAAUUAAAGAA